ACGACCUUACUUGAACAGGGUCUGAUCUAUAUGUUUGCACGUCCUAGAUUUUUUAGGAGACAGAACCAUAAAUCUGGUGGAUGAAUUAAGACCAUGUGAUUGAGAUCUCAUUUGUGCGAUUUAGAUUGGGGUGGUCACACGAUGUUUUGACAGACU
rnacentral:snoRNA from 1 species